CGUGAGCAACCUGCCCUGGACUCUGGGAUAAGCGCUGGAAACGGCGUCUAAUACUGGAUAUGAGACGUGAUCGCAUGGUCGUGUUUGGAAAGAUUUUUCGGUCUGGGAUGGGCUCGCGGCCUAUCAGCUUGUUGGUGAGGUAAUGGCUCACCAAGGCGUCGACGGGUAGCCGGCCUGAGAGGGUGACCGGCCACACUGGGACUGAGACACGGCCCAGACUCCUACGGGAGGCAGCAGUGGGGAAUAUUGCACAAUGGGCGGAAGCCUGAUGCAGCAACGCCGCGUGAGGGAUGACGGCCUUCGGGUUGUAAACCUCUUUUAGCAGGGAAGAAGCGAAAGUGACGGUACCUGCAGAAAAAGCGCCGGCUAACUACGUGCCAGCAGCCGCGGUAAUACGUAGGGCGCAAGCGUUAUCCGGAAUUAUUGGGCGUAAAGAGCUCGUAGGCGGUUUGUCGCGUCUGCUGUGAAAUCCCGAGGCUCAACCUCGGGCCUGCAGUGGGUACGGGCAGACUAGAGUGCGGUAGGGGAGAUUGGAAUUCCUGGUGUAGCGGUGGAAUGCGCAGAUAUCACGAGGAACACCGAUGGCGAAAGGCAGAUCUCUGGGCCGUAACUGACGCUG
rnacentral:rRNA from 1 species